GCCAACUGUUACUUUAAACAUGUCAUUGUCAUCUCUGGUACAAUGAUUUUGCUGUUAAAGUUGCUAUUGUUCUCAUUACUAGCAUCACUACUGCAGCAUUGUCAUUAAAUCAUUGAGCUGCAGAAAACAGUUGAAUAUCUCUAAUACUAAACCAAGCUACUGAGUUUAAGCAAGGCCGUCAAAGUAAUUCUACUUCCUGAGCGCUUGCUCGUUUUUGUGGUUUUUAAAAAAGUCUGAUGUCAUAUCAAGUGACCAUCUGAAAAAGGAAGUGUAGAGCACUUCCCUCUUAGAAUCACAUCAGAGCUGAGCUGCUUUCAGACGACUCCGUCUUGUUGUGGAUGCUGAAGCUGAUCAUGGUUCUCCUGUGGAUGAUCCUGUUGGUGGUUCUGCUCUGUGCAGAGGCCGAGAACGUGACCGAGGUCAGAGGAGAGCUGGGGACCAACGUCACUCUAAACUGGUCCAAUCAGACAUCAGACACAUACUGGUACAUGGAGAUCUACAGUCAGUUCAGAGCAUGUAUCGGCCGUAGUUUUUCUUCAGCAGUCUCUACCUACUGCUCUCCUGGUUUUGAAUCCAAAUUUUCAAUCCUGGGAAACAAACUCGUGAUUAAAAACUUCACAGCAGAGGACUGCAGGCUUUACUUCUGUGGCAUCAAGAGAGGAGGCAGCAUUCAUUUUGUGGAGACUUUCCACCUUUUAUUAGAUGCAUCUACCAGCAACCCACUGAAGGACUGCAUCAUGACUCAGUUCAUCCUCACGAUAUCCGUCUCAGUUGCCGCUGUCAUCAUUCUGAUAAUGGGUGGGGUUUUGAUACUGCUGUGCUCGAGGAAGAACAAAAGUAGCAAACAGGUAGAAGAGCCUUCAGCUCACAUCUACGAGAACGCAGAAACACUGUGGGCUAUUCAGAGGCCGAGAAGGUGACCGAGGUCAGAGGAGAGCUGGGGACCAAUGUCACUCUAACCUGCUCCAAUCAGACAGCAGAGAUCCACUGGUACAUGGAGAUCCACAGUCAGUUCAGAGCAGGUAUCGGCUGCAGUUUUUCCACAGCAGACUCUACCUACUGCUCUCCUGGUUUUAAAUCCAAAUUUUCAAUCCUGGGAAACAAACUUGUGAUUAAAAACCUCAGAGCAGAGGACUGCAGGCUUUACUUCUGUGGCAUCAAGAGAGGAGACAGCGUUCAUUUUGUGGAGACUUUCCACCUUUUCUCAGAUGUCACUCAGCCUACCAACAACCCACAAAACAACUGCUUUUUCAGUCUGUUGAUCACCAUAUCUGUGUCAGUUGUCGCCUUCAGUGUUCUAAUAAUCACUUUUGCUUGUAUAAUGCUGUGCUUGAAGAGGAAAAGCUACAGCAACCAGAGGGAUGAUAUCUCAGUUCACAUCUAUGAUGUACCAGAGCCCCUGCAGGCUGUGAAGGGUAGGGCAGUCCACUCCCAACCAAGAAGACAUCACUGAAAGAUGACUUUAUCCUUCAUCAACCGUUGCAUAGUA
ensembl:lncRNA